GUUAUUUUGGCAGAUUAGUGUGAUAGAUUUAGAAUCUAUUUAAGUAAAUUUAUUGUUUACAUAUAACA
rnacentral:tRNA from 1 species